AGUGAACGCUGGCGGUAGGCCUAACACAUGCAAGUCGAACGGCAGCACAGUAAGAGCUUGCUCUUACGGGUGGCGAGUGGCGGACGGGUGAGGAAUACAUCGGAAUCUACUUUUUCGUGGGGGAUAACGUAGGGAAACUUACGCUAAUACCGCAUACGACCUACGGGUGAAAGCAGGGGAUCUUCGGACCUUGCGCGAUUGAAUGAGCCGAUGUCGGAUUAGCUAGUUGGCGGGGUAAAGGCCCACCAAGGCGACGAUCCGUAGCUGGUCUGAGAGGAUGAUCAGCCACACUGGAACUGAGACACGGUCCAGACUCCUACGGGAGGCAGCAGUGGGGAAUAUUGGACAAUGGGCGCAGGCCUGAUCCAGCCAUACCGCGUGAGUGAAGAAGGCCUUCGGGUUGUAAAGCCCUUUUGUUGGGAAAGAAAAGCAGCAGGUUAAUACCCCGCUGUUCUGACGGUACCCAAAGAAUAAGCACCGGCUAACUUCGUG
rnacentral:rRNA from 1 species